UGCAGGCUUUUGUUGGGGUGCCAAGGCUGCAAUUCAACUCGCAAAGUGCGACUCUAUUAAGGCUGCUGCCCUCUUACAUCAAUCUUACGUCACUGUGGAUGACAUCAAAGAGGUUAAGGUUCCAUUGGCAGUACUUGGAGCAGAGUUUGACCAUCCAGAGAUCGUCAAACAAUUUGAGGAGCUCUAGAUUCUGACCAGUUAAGCUCUGGAAUUUCAUAUUUUGAUACUCACUUUCAAGGCCUCAUAGUUCAGAAAAGGUCUCUUUCUCUCUCUCUCUAUAUAUUUAUAUAACUGCAGCUGUC